AUGUACCCCUUUGUACACACCGAUUCCUCCGCGCCGUCCGCACCCGCCUGACAAGUGCUCGCUACGUGUGUGAGCU
rnacentral:sRNA from 1 species